rnacentral:tRNA from 1 species
ACUUAAAUAGUUUAUUGAAAAUUUUAAUUUGUGGAAUUAAAGAAGUGAAAUUAAUUCAUUUUAAGUA